rnacentral:rRNA from 1 species
GAUGAACGCUGGCGGCGUGCUUAACACAUGCAAGUCGAACGGAAAGGCUCCUGCUUGCAGGGGUACUCGAGUGGCGAACGGGUGAGUAACACGUGGGUGAUCUGCCCUGCACUUCGGGAUAAGCCUGGGAAACUGGGUCUAAUACCGGAUAGGACGAUGGUUUGGAUGCCAUUGUGGAAAGUUUUUCGGUGUGGGAUGAGCUCGCGGCCUAUCAGCUUGUUGGUGGGGUAAUGGCCUACCAAGGCGUCGACGGGUAGCCGGCCUGAGAGGGUGUACGGCCACAUGGGGAAUGAGCGACGGCCCAGCGUCCUACGGGAGGGAGGAGGGGGGAGUAGUGUACAAUGGGCGGAAGCCUGAUGCAGCGACGCGGCGUGGGGGAUGACGGCCUUCGGGUUGUAAAAGCCGUGCGCUAGGGACGAAGCGCAAGUGACGGGACGUGGAGGAGAAGCACCGGCUAACUACGUG